UCUAUCCACUGGAGUCUAUUUUGUGAGCCUAGGAUUGGCACCUAGGGGACUGCAGUUCUCAUCUGCUUCUCGGUGUUCUGGUAUUUCUGAAGAGAGGUGUGUGACUGUCAGCAGGACGUGUCUGGAUCAUGACUCACCUUGUUACACUACAGCUGGGCUUAAAGAAAUAGAAGAAUCCUUUAUAUUUCGCUUUAUACUGGUUUAGGCUUGUCUUCUGCGGACUUGUCGUCUUCCAUCUCACUCCACCUCCAGUUGCUUCUUCAGUCCUUCUAUCUUCCUCAACAGUAAGAAACACUGUGAUAAAUAUUCUUGGCCUUGGUAAGGAUGACAAGUGUCAUGAAGAGAAGCGUGAGAAUGCUUUGUGUCAACAUUGUCUUCUCACAACCCUGUGCAUUGCCAUAAAGAUUUAAACUGUUGUGGUUUUCGUGUUUGUAUGUGUUUCUGAUUGCUGUGAAUAUGACAGGUCAUUACUGUUCUUUAGAAUAGCAUGGAAAAGUUCUAUUUUUCUAUGAGCUAAGAGACCCUUCCUAGUGAUUCUGAUGGCCCCACAGGCAAGGCUACUAGAGAAAGCAAAGCAAAAGAGAGAGCGUCUUGAAUGCUUUUGGAUUCUCUGUAGGGAAAUGUUUCCAAGGGAGGGUUAAAAACACGGUGAAGUAAUAAGACCUGUCGAAGACCUGUCUUGCUGCAGCAGGAACAGCAGCAGGAGUAGAGUCUUCAAAUACCUGCACUCUGCAGAUGGGCUGGGUGUCCUGUGGAACUUGAUGAAGAACAGAUGAGUUUGUUUCUACAGUUGUUUUCUGAAUAUUCAGGCAAUACCUUCCUCUGAAAACAGCACGUAUGCAGAACAUACCCAAGACAAAUGCCUUUUACAUUCUAGCCUAUUAUACUUCCUAGCUAAAAAAGAUGGUCUCAACAGAAAUUACUGCUGAAAUAAAGAAUUUAAUUAACCUUGAGCUAAUUUUGAACAGUGCAAAGAAUACUAAGAUGCAGAAUUCAGCAAGGUGCAGUAAUUUCUGACAGAAAAAUCAAGUGAGCAGUGCAGAAAGUCCUUAUGUGUAUUUCAUAGAUCAUACCAAUAAUUUCCAUGUCUUCAUACAACAUCACUUAAAAAUAUAAUGUUUAUGUAAAGAUCAGCUACAGUUUUAUUAAAGAAGGAUUUUAUUUCUCUGUGCCUUACAGAAUACAUGCAGAAAGCAAGCCAGCAGCCUAACACUGCUUUUAUAACCUAAAUCAAUAGCCCAUGGUUUCAUGUCUUGAUCACUCAGCAGUAGUUGUACAGAACUGUUUACCUCUAGUUUAAAAAUAAAAAAAAAAGCCUCAUCUUAGCAAAUUUGAAAGCAUUUUAUGAAUUCUUGAGACAACUAAUUUUGCAAGAGACUGGGAUUUUUCUGAGGGAGGUGUUAAACCUUUUUAGCAACUCAAGUUCAAUAUUCUCAGUUUUUAAUAGUAGAGAUUUUAGCACUUCUUAUAAUUGAGCUUCUUAAGGUAAUUUGAUAUUGCUGCCCAAGCCUAAACCAGUAUAAAUCAGAAUUAAUCUGAUUAGAAGAACCUAAAGGUCCUUUUGCUUACUGUGAAACUGCCUGCAUCUGGUUUCACUUAUUUCCUCACCUUGUAUUUUCCAGCUCUUGUUUGCACUAAUGACCACAGAAGUAAUUUUUCAUCUUCUUUUAGGCACCAAAUGUUGUCAGUGUUUCUGAAAUUAGUUUAAAAGACAAUGUAUUGCAUUCCAAAAUACUUUUUUUUCUCAAAAAAUAUUUUCUAGAAAUAUUUCUGUCAAAAAUCCUGUUUAAUUCUUCUGCUUCAUUUCAGAACAUUGUACUUUCAUCACUCUUUCCUUGCAUGAAGUUCUAAUUCCUUAUGGCAUUGCAGUACUUGUGCAUCAGUCUACUGCGAUUAUAAAACAGAAGGAUUUCUUAAUUGUGUUGAUUUUUUUUUUUUCCCCUUAUCUCUUCACCAAAAUAUUUCCAUCUGAUAUCAGCAAAGUUGAAAAGUUCCCUUUAUUUUUCAUGUUAUUUAAUGUUUUUGAUAAGUUUUCUUUCUCCUGCUGCUAUAGUUCUUUUGGAGCUUGGUUUAACUUUGCACUAACAGUAAUCUUGGAAUUCUAAAACCCCUGUAAUUAUUUGCAUUUUGUGACUUUGAUGGAUUGUACUUUACAGUUUGAAUCUUGACAUUCUUCUGGGUUACAUCUGGGUUGUUGUAGCAGUUAAGAAAAGGCAGCUUUCGCACUUACACAUUUCCAUCUUUUCUCCUGUUAAGAAACAGAAAAAAAGGAAAAUUGAAAAUUGAUGGGAUUGGAGGAUUGUUUUCAUUCUCUCUUCCUUCUCCAACCUUUUUCCACCAUG